UACGAAGGGGGCUAGCGUUGCUCGGAAUCACUGGGCGUAAAGCGCACGUAGGCGGCUAUUCAAGUCAGAGGUGAAAGCCCGGGGCUCAACCCCGGAACUGCCUUUGAAACUAGGUAGCUAGAAUCUUGGAGAGGUCAGUGGAAUUCCGAGUGUAGAGGUGAAAUUCGUAGAUAUUCGGAAGAACACCAGUGGCGAAGGCGACUGACUGGACAAGUAUUGACGCUGAGGUGCGAAAGCGUGGGGAGCAAACAGGG
rnacentral:rRNA from 1 species